GGUAUAGCCAAGUGGUAAGGCACCGGACUUUGACUCCGUCAUUCGCAGGUUCGAGUCCUGCUACC
rnacentral:tRNA from 1 species